rnacentral:rRNA from 1 species
AUACAGAGGGUGCGAGCGUUAAUCGGAAUUACUGGGCGUAAAGCGCGCGUAGGCGGCUACUUAAGUCAGAUGUGAAAUCCCCGGGCUCAACCUGGGAACUGCAUCUGAUACUGGGUAGCUAGAGUUUAGGAGAGGGAAGUAGAAUUUCAGGUGUAGCGGUGAAAUGCAUAGAGAUCUGAAGGAAUACCAGUGGCGAAGGCGGCUUCCUGGCCUAAAACUGACGCUGAGGUGCGAAAGCGUGGGUAGCAAACGGGAUUAGAAACCCUAGUAGUCC